UACGGCCGCAUCAUGUUGAAACACUGGUUCCUUUACGAUCAGCGAAAUUAAGCAACGUCGAGCUUGAUCAGUACCUAGAUGCGUGACAGCUUGGGAAUACCAAGUGCUGUAAG